rfam:Oryza glumipatula chromosome 3, whole genome shotgun sequence.
AAUAAGUGCAGUUUUGUACUAUUUACGUUCAACGUUUGACCGUUCGUCUUAUUUGAAACUUUUUUAUGAUUAGUAUUUUUAUUGCUAUUAGAUGAUAAAACAUGAAUAAUACUUUAUGUGUGACUAAAUAUUUUCAAAUUUUUCAUAAAAUUUUGAAAUAAGACAGACGUACGGUCAAACAUUGGAGACGGAUAUCUGGCUGUACUUAUU